rnacentral:rRNA from 1 species
AGAAUCAACGCUGGCGGCGUGCCUAACACAUGCAAGUCGAACGCGAAAGCCCGCAAGGGUAAGUAGAGUGGCGCACGGGUGAGUAACACGUGGACAACCUGCCUUUGAGUGGGGAAUAACCUUCCGAAAGGGGGGCUAAUACCGCAUAAAACCCCUGAACAUAAGUUCUAGGGUUGAAAAGAGCAAUUUGCUCGAAGAGGGGUCCGCGCCUGAUUAGCUAGUUGGUGAGGUAACGGCUCACCAAGGCUUCGAUCAGUAGCCGUCCUGAGAGGGAGCACGGCCACACUGGAACUGAGACACGGUCCAGACUCCUACGGGAGGCAGCAGUGGGGAAUUUUUGGCAAUGGGCGAAAGCCUGACCAAGCAACGCCGCGUGGGUGAUGAAGUAUCUUGGUACGUAAAACCCUUUCGGCAGGGACGAACCUAAUGACGGUACCUGCGGAAGAAGCCCCGGCUAACUCCGUGCCAGCAGCCGCGGUAAUACGGGGGGGGGCAAGCGUUGUUCGGAAUUACUGGGCGUAAAGGGCGCGUAGGCGGUUGGAUAAGUCAGCUGUGAAAACCACGGGCUUAACUCGUGGCCUGCAGUUGAGACUGUCUGGCUUGAGUGUGGGAGAGGAGAGUGGAAUUCCUGGUGUAGCGGUGAAAUGCGUAGAUAUCAGGAGGAACACCGGUGGCGAAGGCGGCUCUCUGGACCACAACUGACGCUGAGGCGCGAAAGCUAGGGGAGCAAACAGGAUUAGAUACCCUGGUAGUCCUAGCUGUAAACGAUGGAUACUUGCUGUGGGGGGUGUUAAAUCCUCCUGUGGCGAAGCUAACGCAUUAAGUAUCCC